GAUGAACGCUGGCGGCGUGCCUAAUACAUGCAAGUAGAACGCUGAAGGAAGGAGCUUGCUCUUUCCGGAUGAGUUGCGAACGGGUGAGUAACGCGUAGGUAACCUGCCUGGUAGCGGGGGAUAACUAUUGGAAACGAUAGCUAAUACCGCAUAACAGUAGAUGUUGCAUGAUAUCUACUUAAAAGGUGCAAUUGCACCACUACCAGAUGGACCUGCGUUGUAUUAGCUAGUUGGUGAGGUAACGGCUCACCAAGGCGACGAUACAUAGCCGACCUGAGAGGGUGGUCGGCCACACUGGGACUGAGACACGGCCCAGACUCCUACGGGAGGCAGCAGUAGGGAAUCUUCGGCAAUGGACGGAAGUCUGACCGAGCAACGCCGCGUGAGUGAAGAAGGUUUUCGGAUCGUAAAGCUCUGUUGUAAGAGAAGAACGAGUGUGAGAGUGGAAAGUUCACACUGUGACGGUAUCUUACCAGAAAGGGACGGCUAACUACGCG
rnacentral:rRNA from 1 species